rnacentral:rRNA from 1 species
AGUUAGGAAAUGCAGGUUGGUUAAUACCCAACCUGUUUGACAAAGGCCCCAAAGGAAGCCACGGCUAACUCUGUGCCAGCAGCCGCGGUAAUACAGAGGUGGCAAGCGUUGUUCGGUAUUAUUGGGCGUAAAGAGCACGUAGGUGGUUUUGUAAGUCAGAUGUGAAAGCCUUCUGUUCAAAGGAAGAACGGCAUCUGAAACUGCAGAUCUUGAGUGUAGGAGGGGAGAGUGGAACUUCUGGU